AUUGAACGCUGGCGGCAGGCUUAACACAUGCAAGUCGAACGAGUGGCGGACGGGUGAGUAAUGUCUGGGAAACUGCCUGAUGGAGGGGGAUAACUACUGGAAACGGUAGCUAAUACCGCAUACCAUCAGAUGUGCCCAGCAGGGAUUACCUAGUUGGUGGGGUAACGGCUCACCAAGGGGACGAUCCCUAGCUGGUCUGAGAGGAUGACCAGCCAUACUGGGACUGAGACACGGUGCAGAAUCCGACGGGAGGAAGCAGUGGAGAAUAUUGCACAAUGGGCGUAAGCCUGAUGAAGCCAUGCCGAGUGUAUGAAGAAGGCCGUCGGGUUGUAAAGUACUUUCGGCGGGGAGGGGUUACCAGCAGAAGAAGCACCGGCUACUCCGUGCCAGCCGCCGCGGUAAUUC
rnacentral:rRNA from 1 species